GUCUAUGGCCAUGCCACCCUGAACAAGGCUGGUGUCUGAUCUCAGAAGCUAAGCAGUUCAAGCAGGUCGGGCCUGGUUAGUACUUGGAUGGGAGACCACCUAGGAAGACCAGGUGCUGUAGGCA
rnacentral:rRNA from 1 species